CCACCCACCACACGCAGUGGCGCAUGUCUCCGCGCGUCAGGAGCCCCAGCAGGAACUGAUAUCCGGCUACCCUCUGCUUUGCUGGUGGCCAGCACAUAGGAAUACGUAUGUGUCCCGCGUAUGGAUGAGAGAAUCUGUGAAAUGGGCCGACAGCGUCCCUCAAAGACUUAUAUAAACCGGGUGCUGACUAGUGGCGAA